rnacentral:tRNA from 1 species
AUGGUCCGGUAGUUCAGUUGGUUAGAAUGCCUGCCUGUCACGCAGGAGGUCGCGGGUUCGAGUCCCGUCCGGACCGC